rnacentral:rRNA from 1 species
CUUGGUUGAUCCCGCCAGUAGCAUAUGCUUGUCUCAAAGAUUAAGCCAUGCACGUGUAAGUACACAUGGCCAGUAAAGUGAAACUGUAAAUGGCGAAUUGAAUCAGUUAUGGUGCCUUUGAUUGCUCAAUCUGAUAACUGGUAAUUGUGCAGCUAAUAUAUGUUGACAAAGGCUGACCUCCCAUGAUGCAUGCAAUUAGCAGAUCAAGAUCAAUCCUGGCUCGCUCGCCUGCUUUGGUGACUCUACAUUAGGUUCGGCAGAUCGCACGUACCAGUGAUACCAAUGAUACAUUGAGAUGCCAGCUCCGUCAACUGUUGAUGGUACUUUUUGUGCCUACCAUGGUGACCACAGGUAACGAUGAAUCAGGAUUUGAUUCUGGAGAGGAUGCCUGAGAAAUGGCUACCACAUUCAAGGAAGGCAGCAGGAGCACAAAUUACCCACUCUGGACUCAGGGAAAUAGAUUUGAAAAAUAAUAGCAAAGGACUCUUUUGAGGCUCUAAAAUUGGAAUGAGUACACUUCGAAUCCUUUAACAAGGAUCCAUUAGAGGGCAAGUCUUCUACCAGCAUCCAUGGUAAUUCCACCUCCAAUAGCAUAUAUUAAGGUUGUUGCAGUUCAAAAGAUCAUAGUUGAAUCUUGGGAUGGAGCUGGCGGUCCACUGUGGGUGAGCUGCUGCAUGUCCCAGCUCCUGACUCUUGGUUCCCCCGAGUGUCCUGGGAGUUUGAAGCAUUUACUUUGGUGUUCAAAGCAGUCUUGUCACCUGAAUACUUCAGCUAGGAAUGAUGGAAUAGGUCUCUGCUUCUAUCUUGAUGGUUUUCGGAACUGGGGCAAUGAUUAAGUGAGAUGACCGGGGGCAUUUGUAUUGUGCUGCUAGAGGCUAGUCCAACCAUAAACGAUGCUGACUAGGGAUUUUGCAGCAUUAUUCUCAUAACUCUCUGAGCAGCCUCUGCUGCUGGAUCAAUGGACAUGGGAGAGUAUGGUUGCAAAGCUGAAACUUAAAGGAAUUGAGUCAGGGCACCACCAGGAGUGGAGCCUGUGGCUUAAUUUGACAUAACACAGGAAACUUCACCCGCCCCUGAUACAGAAAGGAUAGACAGAUCGUUAGCUCUUUUGUAGUUCUGUGGAUAGUGGUGCAUGGACAUUCUUAGCUGGUUGAGAAAUGUGUCUGGUUAAUUCCACUGACGAACAAGAUUCCUCAAUGUUAACUAGUUACAUGACCCCCCAGUGGUCAGCGCUAAAAAUCCUAGAGGGAGAAGUGCCAUUCAGCCACACGAGCUCUAAAAAUUACAGUUCAGUGAUGCCCUUAGAUGUCCGGGGCAGCCGUGUGCUACACUGAAUGGAUCAGCGUGUGCCUGUCCUUCGCUGACAGGUGAGGGUAAACCUCUGAACCCCAUUCAUGAUAGGGAUUGGGGACUGUAAUUAUAUCCCAUGAAUGCAGACUCCCAUUAAAUGCAGAUCAUAAGCUUGUGUUGAUUAAGUCCCUGAACUUUGUACACACCACCCAUCACUAGUACCUAUUGGAUGUUUUAGUGAAUUCUUUGGAUCGACCCCACCAGGGUCAACCGAGAAGAUGAUCAAACUUGACUAUCUAGAGGAACUAAAAUUCGUAACAAGUUUUCCAUGGGUAAACCUACAGAAG